rnacentral:rRNA from 1 species
CCUACGGGUGGCAGCAGUGAGGAAUAUUGGUCAAUGGGCGGAAGCCUGAACCAGCCAAGUCGCGUGAGGGAAUAAGGCCCUACGGGUCGUAAACCUCUUUUGCCGGGGAGCAAGGGCGGGGACGUGUCCCGGCUCGGAGAGUACCCGGAGAAAAAGCAUCGGCUAACUCCGUGCCAGCAGCCGCGGUAUUACGGAGGUUGCGAGCGUUAUCCGGAUUUAUGGGGUUUAAGGGGUGCGUAGGCGGGCUUUUAAGUCAGCGGUAAAAAUUCGGGGCUCAACCCCGUCUGGCCGUUGAAACUGGAGGCCUUGAGUGGGCGAGAGGAAGGCGGAAUGCGUGGUGUAGCGGUGAAAUGCAUAGAUAUCACGCAGAACCCCGAUUGCGAAGGCAGCCUUCCGGCGCCCUACUGACGCUGAGGCACGAAAGUGCGGGGAUCGAACAGGAUUAGAUACCCAAGUAGUC